GGAUUGAUAAGUUCUGUGUUAAAAGCAGCUGCUCAACAGUUGUUUGCACCGAAUACUGUCAGUCUAGAAUGUGGUAGGGAGUUUCGGAAUUAAAUAUGGAGCGGUGGAAUGUGUAGAUAUAUUUAAGAACACCAGAAGCGAAGGCGGAAACUCAGGCCAUUAUUGACGCUUAGGCUUGAAAGUGUGGGGAGCAAAUGGGAUUAGAUACCCCAGUAGUCCACACCGUAAACGAUGGGUAUUAGAUGUCGGGGCUUGAGCUUCGGCGUUGUAGCUUACGUGUUAAAUACCCCGCCUGGGUAGUACAUAUGCAAAUAUGAAACUCAAAGGAAUUGACGGGGACCUGAACAAGUGGUGGAACAUGUUGCUUAAUUCGAUAAUACACGAAAAACCUUACCAAGGUUUGACAUCCCCCGCGAAGCCAUGGAAACAUGGUGGAGGUUAUCGGGGUGACAGGUGGUGCAUGGUUGUCGUCAGCUCGUGUCGUGAGAUGUUUGGUUAAGUCCCGCAACGAGCGCAACCCUACUCUUUAGUUGUCUAUUCUAGAGAGACUGAACAGUAAUGUAUAGGAAGGUUGGGAUCACGUCAAAUCAUCAUGCCCCUUAUGCCUUGGGCUGCAAACGUGUUACAAUGGCGAGUACAAUGUGCAGCAAACUAGC
rnacentral:rRNA from 1 species